UUAAAGAAAGUGGCAUGGUUAAAGAUAUUUCUCUGAAGCCAUAGCGAAAGCAAGUUUUACAAGCUACAGUCACUUUUUUUAGACCCGAAACCGAGUGAUCUACCCAUGAUCAGGGUGAAGUGUUGGUAAAAUAACAUGGAGGCCCGAACCGACUAAUGGUGAAAAAUUAGCGGAUGAAUUGUGGGUAGGGGCGAAAAACCAAUCGAACUCGGAGUUAGCUGGUUCUCCCCGAAAUGCGUUUAGGCGCAGCAGUAGCAACACAAAUAGAGGGGUAAAGCACUGUUUCUUUUGUGGGCUUCGAAAGUUGUACCUCAAAGUGGCAAACUCUGAAUACUCUAUUUAGAUAUCUACUAGUGAGACCUUGGGGGAUAAGCUCCUUGGUCAAAAGGGAAACAGCCCAGAUCACCAGUUAAGGCCCCAAAAUGAAAAUGAUAGUGACUAAGGAUGUGAGUAUGUCAAAACCUCCAGCAGGUUAGCUUAGAAGCAGCAAUCCUUUCAA
rnacentral:rRNA from 1 species